rnacentral:rRNA from 1 species
CGUAGGGCGCAAGCGUUAUCCGGAAUUAUUGGGCGUAAAGAGCUCGUAGGCGGUUUGUCGCGUCUGCCGUGAAAGUCCGGGGCUCAACUCCGGAUCUGCGGUGGGUACGGGCAGACUAGAGUGAUGUAGGGGAGACUGGAAUUCCUGGUGUAGCGGUGAAAUGCGCAGAUAUCAGGAGGAACACCGAUGGCGAAGGCAGGUCUCUGGGCAUUAACUGACGCUGAGGAGCGAAANCAUGGGGAGCGAACAGGAUUAGAUACCCUGGUAGUCCAUNCCGUAAACGUUGGGCACUAGGUGUGGGGGACAUUCCACGUUUUCCGCGCCGUAGCUAACGCAUUAAGUGCCCCGCCUGGGGAGUACGGCCGCAAGGCUAAAACUCAAAGGAAUUGACGGGGGCCCGCACAAGCGGCGGAGCAUGCGGAUUAAUUCGAUGCAACGCGAAGAACCUUACCAAGGCUUGACAUGAACCGGUAAUACCUGGAGACAGGUGCUCCGCUUGCGNUCGGUUUACAGGUGGUGNAUGGUUGUCGUCAGCUCGUGUCGUGAGAUGUUGGGAUAAGUNCCGCAACGAGCGCAACCCUCGUUCUAUGUUGCCAGCACGUGAUGGUGGGGACUCAUAGGAGACUGCCGGGGUCAACUCGGAGGAAGGUGGGGACGACGUCAAAUCAUCAUGCCCCUUAUGUCUUGGGCUUCACGCAUGCUACAAUGGCCGGUACAAAGGGUUGCGAUACUGUGAGGUGGAGCUAAUCCCCAAAAGCCGGUCUCAGUUCGGAUUGGGGUCUGCAACUCGACCCCAUGAAGUCGGAGUCGCUAGUAAUCGCAGAUCAGCAACGCUGCGGUGAAUACGUUNCCGGGCCUUGUACAC